rnacentral:rRNA from 1 species
AGACCGAUAGCGAACAAGUACAGUGAUGGAAAGAUGAAAAGAACUUUGAAAAGAGAGUGAAAAAGUACGUGAAAUUGUUGAAAGGGAAGGGCUUGAGAUCAGACUUGGUAUUUUGCAUGNUGCUCUCUCGGGGGCGGCCGCUGCGGUUUACCGGGCCAGCAUCGGUUUGGAGCGGCAGGAUAAUGGCGGAGGAAUGUGGCACGGCUUCUGCUGUGUGUUAUAGCCUCUGACGAUACUGCCAGCCUAGACCGAGGACUGCGGUUUUUUACCUAGGAUGUUGGCAUAAUGAUCUUAAGUCUCCCGUCUUGAAACACGGACCAAG